AGUGAACGCUGGCGGUAGGCCUAACACAUGCAAGUCGAACGGCAGCACAGUAAGAGCUUGCUCUUACGGGUGGCGAGUGGCGGACGGGUGAGGAAUACAUCGGAAUCUACUUUUUCGUGGGGGAUAACGUAGGGAAACUUACGCUAAUACCGCAUACGACCUACGGGUGAAAGCAGGGGAUCUUCGGACCUUGCGCGAUUGAAUGAGCCGAUGUCGGAUUAGCUAGUUGGCGGGGUAAAGGCCAACCAAGGCGACGAUCCGUAGCUGGUCUGAGAGGAUGGUCGGCCACACUGGAACUGAGACACGGUCCAGACUCCUACGGGAGGCAGCAGUGGGGAAUAUUGGACAAUGGGCGCAAGCCUGGUCCAGCCAUACCGCGUGGGUGAAGAAGGCCUUCGGGUUGUAAAGCCCUUUUGUUGGGAAAGAAAAGCAGCAGGUUAAUACCCCGCUGUUCUGACGGUACCCAAAGAAUAAGCACCGGCUAACUUCGUG
rnacentral:rRNA from 1 species